CCAAUAGCGUAUAUUAAAGUUGUUGCAGUUAAAAAGCUCGUAGUUGAAUUUCGAGACCGGUUUAUUGGUCGUGCUUUUGUACGUACUGGUAUUAUUGGUUUCUCCUUUCUGACGAAUCUUAAUGCCAUUAAUUUGGUGUUUUGGGGAAUCAGGACUGUUACUUUGAAAAAAUUAGAGUGUUUAAAGCAGGCUCACGCUUGAAUACAUUAGCAUGGAAUAACGGAAUAGGACGUUUGAUUCUAUUUUGUUGGUUUCUAGGAUCGACGUAAUGAUUAAUAGGGAUAGUUGGGGGCAUUAGUAUUCAAUUGUUAGAGGUGAAAUUCUUGGAUUUAUUGAAGACUAACUACUGCGAAAGCAUUUGCCAAGGAUGUUUUCAUUAAUCAAGAACGAAAGUUAGGGGAUCGAAGACGAUCAGAUACCGUCGUAGUCUUAACCAUAAACUAUGCCGACUAGGGAUCGGAUGAUGUUAACUUUUUAAUGACUCAUUCGGCGCCUUACG
rnacentral:rRNA from 1 species